UACGGAGGGGAGCUAGCGUUAUUCGGAAUUACUGGGCGUAAAGCGUACGUAGGCGGCUUUGUAAGUAAGAGGUGAAAGCCCCGGAGCUCAACUCCGGAACUGCCUUUUAGGACUGCAUCGCUUGAAUCCAGGAGAGGUGAGUGGAAUUCCGAGUGUAGAGGUGAAAUUCGUAGAUAUUCGGAAGAACACCAGUGGCGAAGGGCGGCUCACUGGACUGGUAU
rnacentral:rRNA from 1 species